rnacentral:lncRNA from 1 species
UAUGAGUUUACAUCUCUCCCCCACAGUGGCUGGGCAGCCUCAACCAGUCAGGGGAAGGAAAGCCCCAGAGCUUCAGAAAGGGAGGUGCCAAGUGGCCUUACCUCAGCAGGCCUCCUAGUGAAAGUGCUGGCCCUCAGGAGUCUACACGAGCUCCUCUACCUAAACCCUGGCUGGGACAUUGAGUGGAUGCUCAGUAUUCUACGACAGGAGAUGAACUCUCUCGCCCUUGCCCAGUCCUUGGCUUGUAACAUGCAAAGAAAGAAAGCAAGAUAAGCCUCUUCCGGCCUCCCUUUUGUUAUGAAAAGUGGCCAACCACCUUCUCUGCCUCCCCUCUCCACACCCAAGCCUGGGAGUGAGCUGCAGAUCUGAACUGGUUCUUUACUAGGGCUGCUCACACUUAACAUGCACCUGAGACACCUGUGGAUCCGUUAAAAUGCAGAUUCUAGUUCAGUAGGCCUGGGGUGGGGCCAAGACAGCAUUUCUAACAGGCGUCCUAGCGAUGCAAACGCGGCUGCCAUGCUCCUCUAAGGAAUGGGAAGGAGGCCACUCCAGGCCCGCCAGGCGCUGCGCCGCUCUCUCCCGCUUCCGCCCCCGCGGCAGCAUCGCCGCAGCCUCAGAGUCUGGCUUCGUCACAUUAAAAUCGGAUUCCAGGGCGGCUAGAGCUCCAGGCCGGGCCUCAGUGGGGAGGGGCUCCGCCUGGAAAGACUGCGGAUGCCUCUGCCUCCUGUUGGGGCCUGGGCUCCGGAAGCCAGCCCCGCCCUGGCUAAGCAGGCUCUCGGCGCGCCGAGAAGGACCGGGACAGAAGUUUCCAAAGAGGACCCUUUGUCCCCCCACCCUCUCCGCGGUGGAGGCCGACGCCGCGCCGCGCCCGCCAGGGCACGCAAUGGGCCAGCGCCGCUGCGCACCUUUCUGCGGUCCUCCGGGCGCGGCGACCUGGAGAAAGAUCUAGCAAAAUGAGGAUUCCGGGCGCCGCCCCCCUUCCCUUCUCCGCUCCAUCUCUGAAUGACGGGGCUUCCUGGUGGAAAUGUGUGUCACCUGAUCUGCUCUAAAGUAUUUUAAGUCUGGGAACUUGACCGUUUGCGGGGAUGGGAUGGGAUGGGAUGGGGGUAGGGGGUCUUCAGAGCUAAAGACUUUGCAGCCGGCACGCAGCUUUGCACGGAGCACUCUCGGCGGGGGAGGCGAGCUGCACGCAGCGCGCGCUUCUCUUCCAGAAAGUAUCCUUGGGCUCUCGUAUUUGCUGAGAGGAUAGAAGCAGCUUUUUAAGGCCUCCCCUAUCCACUCAACCCCUCCGUGCUUUCUGUCUCACCUCGUAGGAUGGAAAGAAAAAAGAAAACAGCUGUGACUAGCGGCGACGGGAGGGUGGGUGGCGCCGAGGCAGAACUGAAUGUGCAGAAACCCCAGGGGCGGCUCACAGUGGACUCCCUGCUGUAAAACAAAAAGCAAAGCAAAGAAAAAGUGGUAUCAGGAAGACGCCUCAAUCUUACAGACGGACCUUCAUCUCCUCGGAAAUAUGCUCUCCCAGUGGGUGAAAGGAAGCACUUUUCCACUCAUUUUGCUAAAAUUACCCCUGAGUGUGAGCAAACUGUUGUUUUACGAGUGGGCAGCGGGGAGGUGCGCGGCUGCCGAGGCUCCGGGCUGCUGCGGCCUGAACAGCAAGAUGCCUGUCUCACCCCCUCAGCAUAGCAAGCUGAGGACAGGGUCUCUAAAUUACACCCUUCCCCACAAAAAAGUACGCCCAGCUGAUGGCUUUGCCUGAGGAGGGGCAUUUGUUUAAGGGCUCUGUCUCCCAGCCCCUCAGGAAAAGUGCCGGAAGCUGUAGAAGCUGAGUCAGCGUCCACUGCUAACGUCUGGAGACUUCGCAAGUCACACUGCCCGUUUCUGAGUCCUACUGUUCAGGUGGGACCGGCAGGAAUUGGGGGCAGGCGCAAGCGCACAGAGGGGAAGCAGAGAACAAGCCGAGGCUCUGGCCCCUUCACCUUCCCCAGGUGCUCCUACUGAGUCACUAAAGUGGUCCCUUGGAGACGCGGCUCACGCUCCGCUCCCUCCCGCACGCGCCUUCUCGCAGCAGGUGCACAUUAUCAGGGCUCUUAGUCCUCAGAACCCAGAACGUUGCGUCUGUCCCUGGGGAAUGCCGUGCAUUUUAUUCUCAGCUCAGAAUCGCCCUGUGACUUCACAUGUCUGGCACCAAUUUUUCUGUCAAACUGUGUGAAUGCUUUGUGGCUUACAGUUGAGAUUUUCUCUCACACACUUUCUCCUGCGUGUGUGCCUACAUGAGGGAAGAGAACAAAGGAAGGCGGAGGUCUCCUCCAUUGGGGGGGCGGGGGGGCUAACCUCUGUAGUAGAGGUGGGGUUUUCCAGUGAGUAAAUGAUUAGAAACAAACUAAGUCAGAAUGAGCAGACCAUUCCUUCCUCUCCAACCAGAAGUAAUUAGGUAAAACGCGGGUAGAGUUUUAAUAUCAGGUUUCUGUCUUUACUAGCAGGCUAGAUGUAGAGUAAGAAGGGAAUGUUAGUUUUGCUGCAUCAAAGCAUCCUGCUAGUUAUUUUUUUUUUAAUGGUCAUAUCAGGAAAUGGCUCAUACUCCAUAUGAGAUUAUAAGGAUGUGGUGUUGUUAUGGAUUGAAAGAAUACAUUUAGCUAAGAGCAAAGGGAUUAAUGGCCAUCAAUACACAAAUGAAAAUGUCUUUAAUAGCUACAAGAAACCUGAGCCUCACCUACAGCAUCUCAGCUUUUUUUUA